GUACACUGUGGUCUGCCUCUUUGAGGACAGCCAAAUGUGUGAUCCCCCUCCAGAAAAGACUUGAGUCUUUACAGUUGGAAUUUCCGUGUCGUGAGUGACAGGAUCUUGGUCCAUCACCCAGGCUGGAAUACAGUGGUGCAAUUAUAGUUCACUGCGGCCUCAAAUUCCUGCACUCAACAGAUCCUCCCACCUCAGCCUCGCAACUGGCUGGGACUACAGGGAUGCACCACCACACCUGGCUAAUUUUUAACUCUUUCGUAGGAAUGAGGUCUUGCUGUGUUGCCCAGGCUGGUCUCGAACUCUGGGGGUCAAGAGAUCCUCCCAUCUCGGCCUUCCAAAGUGUUGGGAUUACAGGCACGCACCACCACACCUGGCUACAUGCCUAAUUUAACAUGAGCUAGAGUUAGGUUUGGCCAUCCCUAGUGUUCAGUGGAGUUGUAGAGUUAGUCUCAAAUGCCAGAGUGAAAGUCCUUGCCUAUCACUCCCUCAUGGGGUAACCAUGGUGGAGCUGCCCAAUUUCCUCAUCUCAGAAGUGAAUAUAAUAGCUUCUACCUCAUAGGGUUGUUGUGAGAAUUGCAUGAGGAAACCAUGGAAAGGAAUUCAUAGAGUACUUAGAAAGGCAGUAAGUACAGGGACAGAUUUGGGUUUCAUGGGACUUGAAGACUACACAACUUCGGAAGCCCUCUUUAAUGAAAAGAAGAUAAAUCUUACUUUUGCAAGUUUUAUAUGAAUAUGUGACUAUGUGAACACAUUGCUCAGGUCCUCCCCUCGCCCGCACACAAGGUCUAGAAAAAGGCUUAUUAAAGUGAGACAUCCUGAAGCUUAAGCGUCACCAGCUUCAAGUUCAACCCACCUCUGAAUAAAUGCUUCAAAUAAAU
rnacentral:lncRNA from 10 species